rnacentral:rRNA from 1 species
GUGGGGAAUCUUGCGCAAUGGGCGAAAGCCUGACGCAGCCAUGCCGCGUGAAUGAUGAAGGUCUUAGGAUUGUAAAAUUCUUUCACCGGGGACGAUAAUGACGGUACCCGGAGAAGAAGCCCCGGCUAACUUCGUGCCAGCAGCCGCGGUAAUACGAAGGGGGCUAGCGUUGCUCGGAAUUACUGGGCGUAAAGGGAGCGUAGGCGGAUAGUUUAGUCAGAGGUGAAAGCCCAGGGCUCAACCUUGGAAUUGCCUUUGAUACUGGCUAUCUUGAGUAUGGAAGAGGUAUGUGGAACUCCGAGUGUAGAGGUGAAAUUCGUAGAUAUUCGGAAGAACACCAGUGGCGAAGGCGACAUACUGGUCCAUUACUGACGCUGAGGCUCGAAAGCGUGGGGAGCAAACAGGAUUAGAAACCCCGGUAGUCC